GUCAUUAAAAGCUAAGGAGCUGCGAGGCUGAACGUGCUUUUGAAAACAUUGCGAGAAAAUACAGGAAAAGUUAAUCAGUUGCAAUGUGCAAGUUGAAAUAGGCUGUCAAAAAGUUGAAGGUAACUAUUAUUGACAGUCCCUUGACCUGCAUUAAAAAAAAGCGUUGUCAUCUGAUCUGCAAGGGACUGCCAGCUGAGACAGUAUGCGUGCGUGUGUGUGAGAGAGAGAGAGAGAGAGAGAGACUGGAGACAAGACAGGACCAGAGAGGGGAAAGAGAAGUUUCAUCUGAAAGCAAGCCGAGUUCUUACCUUUUUUUUGCUGAUUUGUAAAAGGGAAAGCGUGAUGACCUUGUCAGGCAACGGCAGUGCGAGCGAUAUGUCAGGGCACACGAUCCUCACCGCUGAGGAUGUCGAUAUUGAUGUGGUGGGAGAAGGAGACGAGGGCAUGGGAAAGGACAGCGAUUCAGACAGUCCCGCCACCCACGAUCAGGGAGAAGAGCUGGAGGAGAUCGGGUCAAGGGAAGCCGCCGAGAGCCCUCCCAGUAUCUGCCAGCCUUCCUCGGAGGGAGAGAUAACCAAAUCGGAAACUCAGGAAAGUGGCUCGUCGAGCGGCAACGCAGCCUCCAAACCCAAGAACAGUCUGGUGAAACCACCUUACUCGUACAUUGCUCUCAUCACCAUGUCUAUUCUGCAAAGUCCCCAGAAAAAGUUAACCCUUAGUGGGAUCUGUGAAUUCAUCAGUAACCGCUUUCCCUACUACAGGGAGAAAUUCCCCGCCUGGCAGAAUUCCAUCCGCCACAACUUGUCCCUCAACGACUGUUUUGUCAAGAUUCCCAGGGAACCUGGUAAUCCGGGGAAAGGGAACUACUGGACCCUGGAUCCACAGUCUGAAGACAUGUUUGACAACGGUAGCUUUCUUCGCAGGAGGAAAAGAUUCAAAAGACAGCCUGCAGACCCUCUGAGGGAGCAGACUGCCCUCAUGAUGCAGAGUUUUGGAGCAUACAGCCUAAGCGGUCCAUACGGGCGUCCGUACGCGCUGCACCCCACCUCCUAUGCUCAACCCUCUACUCUUCAGUAUCCUUACAUCCCUCCUGUGGGUCCCAUGCUACCUCCGGUAGUCCCGCUCAUCCCGUCCAGUGAACUCAACAGGAAAGCCUUCAGUUCGCAGCUCAGCCCCAGCCUCCAGCUCCAGCUCAGCAGUCUGAGCUCCACAUCCAUCGUGAAAACGGAGCCAACCAGCAGACCUUCUUUCAGCAUCGAGAAUAUCAUCGGGGUGACAAGCACAUCAGGGAGCUCACAAACUUUCCUGCGGCCGCCAGUGACCGUCCAGUCUGCCCUGAUCAGUCCUCAGCCCUUGUCCUUAGCGAGAAGUACAGCUGCAAUUACCCCUAUCCUCAGUGUCCCCACGAACAUAAUCUCCGGACAAUUCCUACAGUCAGCAGCUUCGGCCGCCGCAGUGACCAAAUGGCCAUGUUAAUAUCUCCUCCACUGGCAACUGCUCACUCACCAUAUCCCACUUUUCUUCUCCUGUGGUAGUGAGUUGCACUGAACUUGACUGCGAAUAAUAGAGUAUAUACUCUGUUUUAUAUAUAUAUAUAUAUAUAUAUAUAUAAAUAUAAAAGGAAUGCUUUCUGUACAGGACGCAAGGGCACACCAGCAACCUGGCAUCGAUUACCCGCAGGUGACCUGAAACUGCUUAGUGCUAAGAAUAUGGAUGAAAAAGAGAUAACAUUGCAUGCGGGUUAAAAAGAGCAAAGAGAAUGAAAAUUAAAGGCGAGGAAUUACUGCUCCCGGUACUGAAGAGAAGAAUUUUGCUCUCCGGGAAAUAUCACGCUCGAUGUAGAAUCUUCUGUGUGUAAUCCCGUUCCAGAUAUGUUUGAACGAAUGUUAACAUUAAUAUGAAACAAAUACCCUUGUAAUAAAUCGGGCAAUUAGAAAUCAUGAAUUAUCUCAAAUGCAAAAAAAACCAGGUUUGGGGCAGGGAUGAAUACUUUGU